UCCAGCUCUGUUGGUUGCUUCUGGUGACUUUGCUGCUGUGAUUCUGCUGUAUUUCUUCAGAGCCUGAGUCUCCAAGCUAUGCUGUACAGAGGAGUGCUGCCAUGUGCUUCAAUGGAAGGGACUUCCCUCAUGUCUUUAAUUAUAUAAUACAUUUCCUCAACUGCCCUCUUGACCUACAAAGUAGCCUGUUGGCUCCAUUCCUCGUUUCCAGUGCCAUGUUGAUGUUCCAGCAGAGGCCUUGGGCCCUCACAUCCAGGGGAAAGGUGGGGCUGCCACACACCGAGUGGGAAUUGCAAUCA